CCAAAGGCUCUUUUCAGAGCCCCCACUCUGUCUAAACAGCGCUGUGU
rfam:Xenopus tropicalis strain Nigerian Chr03_contig_3067, whole genome shotgun sequence.